rnacentral:rRNA from 1 species
UACGAAGGGGGCUAACGUUGCUCGGAAUCACUGGGCGUAAAGCGCACGUAGGCGGCUUUUUAAGUCAGGGGUGAAAUCCUGGAGCUCAACUCCAGAACUGCCUUUGAUACUGGGAAGCUUGAGUCCGGGAGAGGUGAGUGGAACUCCUAGUGUAGAGGUGGAAUUCGUAGAUAUUCGCAAGAACACCAGUGGCGAAGGCGGCUCACUGGCCCGGUACUGACGCUGAGGCACGAAAGCGUGGGGAGCAAACAGG